UAGACACACAGCAGUAACUUUACACAAAAGCCCCAAAUUUUAAAACAACCCACACCUCUUUAAACCUAGAAACAAGAAAAAAAUAGCAACAACAACAACAAAAAACCCAGACAAACAACAAAAACAACAAAAAACUCUUCUUGAGCGGCAUUCUACCUAUAGCAGCCCAAAAGUGACUUCUCUACCCUGCCCUGCUCUGCCACACCUGUUGUUUUAUAGCAAGGACUACAGCUACCUUCUGGAAUUUGCCGUGUAUGUAGCUGAGAUGAAAACCAAACAACUCCUCCUUCCCUAUACCAAGUGAAUGACUCAUGUCCCAUUCUUUGAAGAGAUAUGACAGGAGUGAUUGCACAACGUCAUGGAACCAGGGAUUUCGACGCUCCACACUGGCAGCAGGCGUGUUCAAAGCCAGGAUGAUUGAAAACACCACUUCCAGAUGCAUUACUGAUGCAAUAAUGGAACUACCAAACCUUAGUCACAAGGAACGUGAACACCACUUUCCAAACGCCCUUGAUAUUGCUCAACAUAUAUACGAGCUGACUCACACUAGCCAACAUUCUCCUGAACUUUUUCCCUCUUAAUUUCCUCUUCAGUGUUUUUUCAACACAAUUUUAAGAUAAAAGGGACUUUUUUCUAGGGUUUGCACAGAACAUUCUAGACACCUGAUUUCUAGGUUUAAGAGGUGGCUAAUCAAGCGAUCCCAACUCUGUUUUCCCGAUUCAUUUUUCCGUUUUUUCCUCAAUUUUUCUUACACUUCUUACUGAAGCCACUAGACUGCAGAGGCAUUCCACCCAGAAUGCAUACACACACACACACACACACACACACGUGUGUGCACACAUGUUCACAUUCACUCUCAAAACUGUUCCUUAAAAAGAGACAAAAAGGGCCUUUCCGAUAUAUAUCAUUUAAAGAAAAUGCCUUGUUUUAUGAUACAUUGUUCAGGGAAAUAAUACUAUUAUGAAACAAUACGUAUCAAAUGACACCAUUGCUAUAAAUAAGGUUAAAUACAAUCUGGAAAUGUAUGCUUCAAAAUAUUAACAGUGUUUCUCACUGGGUGACGAAAUUAUGAGUGAUUUUCAUUUUUUCCUCUCUGCUUCUCUAUAUUUCCAAAAGUCUUAGACAAUGUAUGUGUAUUCCUGUUUCAGUUAGAAAAAUAAAGUUAAAUCAUGGGGAGUUUCUUCAAUCUCUUUUUCUAGGUUCCUCCAAACACAGUUAAGACAAGCUGGAUUUUUUUUUUUUAUUUUACUAGAGAAAAAAAAAACUUAAGCUAUGACACACUUUUUAAAAGAAGUUAAAGACUUUUCUGAUUUUACCAUAGCUGUUGAUCCAUGUCUCAGCCCUGUCCCAUCCACAUGCAGUUUCUCAAGGCCCUCUCACCUCUAAAAGCCUGGCAUGGUAUCAGAGCACAGACACUCAGGAUUCUUGACUUUCUGACCUUGACCCGCCUCCAGAUGGCAGGAACCCCCCUACUUUCCACCACCAGUGAGGACAGCCUUCUCCCAUUGGUUGCCAGGAUCUAAAGGUCUGUGGGCCUUGCUGCUUACCAAGGGCCUCCCACUCAGUUCCCCCAGGGAUAAGGUGUAGAAGAUGUGACUGUUCUCCAGUCAGGACUGGGGCAAAUGUCACAAGGGUGAGCUCAUCCUUCAAAGUCAUCUCACCUCUGCAUACAAGGAAUGACCUUAUCCACCACAGCCCCAAUAUUAUGAAAAAUCCUUUAAGACCGAGAUUCUCAAAGUGUGAUCCAGGCACCCCUACAGAUUGCCAAAACUGUAUGUGUCAGGUAAAACUUACUUUUAUAAUAAUACCAAGACUUCAUUUUCAUUCUUUUAUGAGUGAAUAAUAGAUAUUCCAGAAGCUAUGUGACAUA